rnacentral:lncRNA from 1 species
AUCUCAGGUUUAGCUAACUCUCAGAUUUCUCCAGUUUUGAUCCCUCAAACUAUCCCAAACAGCAGUUAUCAUCUAUUGUGUUUUUUUGGGUGUAACAUCAUGCUAUUGUUCCGACCAAUAAUAUUGUCACUGUCCAAAAUCGAUCGUCAUGAACGUGUCAUGACUUUUUUUUGUACACAACCAUUUGGAGUUCUACAUCUCACCC